rnacentral:lncRNA from 1 species
UUUGUUGAGUCAAUAUUAAUAUCAGUUAACCUAGGAUUGCAUGCUUAGGGAAAACUUCGUGUUAAGCACAUCCGUCUUGUCAAUUUUUUAUUCUUAGUUUGUCAAUUUGGUGUCUUUCUGUCUAUUGGUUCCUUACAUUUAGUUUGACAAAUUGCACAUUGUUGAACAUCUAAUUACACUUAGUACACGAAAUUUAACUUUUGUGUGCUAAAUCAAUCUAUUUGUUCAUUUUGGUCAGUUUGCAUCUAGUGUUGUUUCCUAUCUUUUCUUCUUAGGUCUUUCCUUGCUUUCCUUAUUAUUU